ensembl:lncRNA
CGAUAGGCAGCGGUGGUGUUCUGCUGCAAAACGAAACUACUGUCUGAUGCACUAUGACGUGCAUGCACUAAGACGUACAGGAGACAGAGGUGCGCGCUAUUGGCUAGGAGACGUGUUCAGAAGAAAAGCUAUUUCCGGACAGUGUCUACUGUCUUUGACGUUACAGACAUCUAGACGUUAGCUUAGUGGUUCAAUAUGCCUCAAACAAAGUCAAUGGAUACAAUCCAGCAGCAGACACUUCAGAUCGUCCUCUGCCUCUUUCAGGAGGACCUGGGGUGUAUUGAGGUGGAUGGAGUCGGCGAUGGUGACAAGUUUGACCCUGUUCCGAUCGCUAAUAAACUGAAGGAGGUGGCAGACCAACUGCAGAAACAGUGGGACAAGGAUAUCCCAGCAGCACUGCUUCGGGACGCAAACCAAGUGAGGGUAGAAUGUGAAAUAAUUGUUCAGAAAGCUUCCUUUGUAGAUUUGGCAAUCUUUGGUAAUUGCUACAUGCAUAUAAUUAUGCUUGUUUUAGUGUAUCUGUUGUAGUGUGUGUGUGUAUUUUUUUCAUAGCAAGCUUGUAUUCAGCCUAUACAUUCAGGGAAUAAGUGUUUGUUUGUGCAUUAUUACUUUGGGAAACAAUCGUUCAUACUUUAUGACAUCUCAGACGUGUUUUUUUUCUCAUGGCUGAUGCAUGGAUACAUUCAGUCAACUUUUAGCUGUAUGGGAUGGCUCUUAAAUCUACCUACAGUACCUUUUUUAAGCAAAAUAAAAGAUUAAAUUGCUCAUACUUAUAACACUGAGGUGCACUGAGGUGCACUAUAGCACCCUAACCCUGAGGUUCACUAUAGCACCCUAACACUGAGGUUCACUAUAGCACCCUAACCCUGAGGUUCACUAUAGCACCCUAACCCUGAGGUUCACUAUAGCACCCUAACCCUGAGGUUCACUACGCGGGGUUCCUCUGUCUCCAGGACAUCAGCAGUGCCUUCAGCAGUGCUGUGGACAGUAUUUGCCUGAGCCCCGGGGUUUGUGAGGGGCUUCCAGAGAUGAAGCUGCUCGCAGUGGCGGUGGCCCUAGGUCUCUACCUGAAAACACACGCCCCGGGGAACGUCUCCAACAUCCAGCAGGCAACCGCCAGCUUCCUGCGCAGCCGGGUGGAACCCUUUGUUGAUCAACAGGGCGGUUGGGGUGCCGUGGCAGACCUCUGAACCAGCCAUGUCGUUGUGACCAACAGUCUGACCUGAGCCAAGACUAUUCAAGAAGGUUUUUUACAACCCAGGAGGUCAAAACCACCAGCAUAAAACCGACUGGCCUGAUCCAUACUGAUUUUAUUGGUUAUUAUUUUUAUUAUUCCACUUGAUUAUGAAGGUUUUUUCAAUUUCUUAGCUUUUCUCUAAAAUGUACACCAUAGAAGGAAAAAGUAAGUUUACAGUAAGAAGUUUACAUAUGUUUACACAUGCACAAUCGCGUGAUGUGCAUGUGAAAAGUGAUGACAUGAUCACCUUUGUUGAUAGUAGAAUAUCAAUAGGAAUGGGUAUAGGAAUAUGAACACAUGAUUUAACUGAUGUAGUCGGUAUAUUCAGGUCAGAUCACAGGGAAAUACCAAGCUUAUAAGGAAAAUACUUGAAACCAGCCUCUUCCAGGAGACAGCGACCACAAUCAAACAUGAACCUGAUGAAUGGGAAGCUUCCUCAUGGGGAUGUUGUGCUGCAUGGCAAACGUAUUCCCAUACACCACAAUGAUUGUUAUUCCAUAAGUGCAAGGUUUAAUCUUGUGUAGUGUGUAAUGUAUAAACACUGUCUACAUCACACAUCUACGUAUCACGGGAGAAUCUAUAUAUGUGGCGUUUAUCUGUAAUGAAGUGAAAGGAACCAAGUGAGUAGAAAAAUGCAUUGCGAACUACCGUCCUGGUUGGUGAAUGUUUGUAAAUCACUAAUGUGCCUCUGUCACAAAAUAAAAAUGACUGUCCUAGGCCCAUCUUCGUACAUUUCUGGCUACAAGGCCCAACCUUUCACCUACAGAUUGUGUUUAAAGUCACAGCCUCUAGAGGGCAGCACAAUAUUAGUAAUAAGCAGGCGAGGACAAUUAAUGUUAAUUCAAGUAAAGUAACAACGUGCGUUUCAAUACGGUUCACAUUUAGUUCCAAUAGCACUGUUGAUCAAAAUAUAUAAACACAAGAUUUAGGGAAGUUGGGUAUAUUUGAGGAAAAAAACUAAUUUGCAUAUUUGUUGCUAUCAGUUAGAGAUAUUUCAUAACUCGGAACCCCUAAGAUUUAUAUCUUUAAUACAGGGGCCCAAAACAUUGCAAGACAAAGUGAG